UCAUACGAGGUUGCACGCCGCCGCCGGCCCAACCGUCCCCGUCAGGAUCCCCCGCCUCCCACCGUGGCUCCUCGCCGCCACCAUGGGAUCCCAGCCGGCAGGCUCCCACGAGCGCCCCGUGCCCAGCCGUCUCGCUUCCAUCAUCGGUAAUCGCCCCUCCACCAUGCCUCCUCCCACAACCCCGAUCCAGAUACAGAGACCUCCACCAGGAUGCACGUCGGUCUCACCGUGGUCACAUCAGAAGUCCAACUGGUCGCUCCAUGGCCGGUCGCUCAAAGUGCUGCGUAUAGGCCACCCCGUGCUCUACCCCUAGGCCUGGCUCAACUUUCUCCCUCCCAUCCUAUCUCUCAUCUGCCUACUUGUCCUGCUCUGUUUCCAUCUCCUGAACUAUUUAUCAUGCAUCAACUCUCUCGCUAUGUGGUUUUCUUGCUCCCUCUCUCGUAGCUACAACAUGGUCACAGACUAGCUGAUGGAUCCAAAAAAUGAUUAUGGAUAAUUGUUGUUCUGAUCUCUAGUUUCUAUUAACUGAUGGGUAAGAUUCUCUCUCUGAUGCUCCCUCAUCCUUUGUAGUUUGUGUGAACUGAUAGUUUAGACUCGAUGAAAUCCGUUGUUUGUAGUUUGUGUGUACUGAUAGUUGAGACUAUGAAUUCCAUGCUUUGUAGUUUGUAUGAACUGAUAGUUAAGACUCGAUGAGCUCCAUGCUUUGUAGUUUGUGUGAACUGAUAGUUGAGACCUCGAAGAGUUGUCCAUCUCGACUUGGUGAACUCAUAGAUGAUAGUUUUGUGAAGUGAAAAUUCUUUUUCAAGUUCUUGUGGUAUUUAAUACUUUGUGAGCUGAUAGCUGAUACUUUGAGAUGGACGUAUAAUCAGGCAUGAAAAUAAUGUCAAAUACGUGCAGUUUAAUGGAUGAGUGUUAUCUAGAUCCUUUUAAUCUGAAGGUAGUUGCACCACUAAGGAAAUUAAAAAAACAAUAUUUUCUAUUGACAAGAAAUGGAAAUUUGGCUUAGUAAUCGUCCAUUACUAGAGGUAUUGUCACUUGACCGUUUUCCAGAACUAGUUUCAAUUCUUGGACUACCGGCACUUCCAAAAUCAAAGACGCCAUAUCAAAGUGCUCAAAGUUGAAGCAAAGGAGAUGAGAUGCUAAAAAAAGGUACACAUGCUAACAGAAGUUUUACCUUCCAGCCUUUACUCCGCUCUUGUCUGAAGUUUCUGAAAGCAAAUCAUUAACUUGAAACUCCCCACCUCUUCAACGGGUCUAGCUAUAGCUGCAGGCAGUAGAGGAUAAAAAAUGCAUGGAUUAAUUGGAACUAAUCACACAUAGGCUAUGGGCUACGGAUCACAUACACAUAUUAGAAAAAUGUGCUAUAGAUUAGAUUGAUUGAUACCUCCUAGUGUAGUAUUUCUGUAAGUGUAUUUGGUCUGCACUUAUAGGAUUUAGGGAAGUACUACAAAAAUGUCUUGCAUAAAUUAUGUGCUAAAUUUGAUGCUCUAUAAUUGCUUGUCAAAAUGCCCCUACGAGAACCAAAAUAUUUGGAUAAAAUUUGAUGUUGUUGUUCCUAUAUUCUAGAUGAAUUUCAAUCAUACUAUUUUGCUACAACAGGCAUGUACUUGCUCUGUUUGCAAAAUAGUUCUCUUGCAGUUUUCUGUGUUGUAAUUUUCCUCUGUCAAUCCAACAAAAGCAGCAGUUCUCUUCGCAGUACACAGCACAAAUUGGUGUCAAGUCAGCGGAAAAAUAAUAAUUGCAUCAGUUCAGAUUCGAGAUGGUGUAAGUGCAGAAGAAAAAAUGGUAGCAGUAAAGGUUCAAGAUUGAAAAAGUUGUAAGUUCAACGCGACGUCCCAGAUAAGUUCGUGAAAAUAUAAAAAAAUGAAACCCCAAUAGGAAUUCGAAUGGUAAAAGUUCAAGUCACAAAUUCCUACUUGGCCUGGAUAGCUCAUAUACACUUUAAUCUUGUAAUUUAAAAGUUCAAGUGACAACUUUGGAGAUGAUUGUUUGCAAGUAGUUUACUUUGAUGAUUCUGUAAUUGCAUCAGGCCAUUACAAAAAAUUGCUCUGGAAGUUCAAUAUUUAUUUCAAUUCAUGAAAUAAAUACAGUGCCCCGCCCCGCCCCUGCUGCUUGCUAGCUGUCGGUGGUGUGUGCGCGCUGGUCGCUACUGCUGUUUGUUGCUGCUGCAGGGUAAGAUAAUACAGAGAUUAAAUACAACUUUGCUACACGGGCCAGCCCCUAGCACUCCGGUUGAUGAAGAUGCUGAUUUGACAAAAGGAUCAGUGAAGCACUGGGCGAUCGAGACACUUUCUUCAUCAGAUGGUGUACUGCACGACAUACUUCCGUUAGUUGAAGAUGAUACAUGGAGUAGUGACCUAAAUAAGUUGAAGAAAAAUUCUGCAAGUUUGGUGCAUGUGCUGCUCCAAAUCUAUUGUGUGUCUGCGAGUAGCUAUUGUAUGUCUUCUGAAUCAUGAUGUAUGCUAUUCUUUGGUACAUGUCUUAAGUGUGCGUACGGAAGGCCGAGAAGUUCUAUUGCUGGUAUACGCCAAGUUCAGAGGCGUUUCCGCCAACGACGCUGAAGCAGCGGUCAAAAUUAAACUCGGUUCAGUUUGUGCGUAUUCUUUUUUUUAUACAUCAAGUUGUGAAUAUGAGUUAA